UUAUCCUACUGCACAGUGGCAGACUUAACUCAGUCAUAGGACAAUACAUUUUAUAUGGACUAUUCUGACAUCUGCUUCAUUUGGCAAGUAAAACAAAACUGAGCCAAAUUCCUUGGAGCCAUUGCAAACCACAACAAGAGUUUCUGUAUAAAAUAUACAAGCCUUGUGAACCCUUCGUUCUGAUACAAAGAAUCUCCAAUUCUACCUGGUUCCCCGUGGCCAGUGUUCCCAGGCCCUCUUGCUUCCAUCGCUGGUGACCGUGCUCUCGGGCUGACUGGCAAGCUUCUGUGCGGGGAGCUCUUCGUGCUUUAACUGAGCGAACCAGUGCUCUUUAUCCAACAGAAAGUUAGAGCCUGCCCGGAGGGUGCUGCCCAUAUCUAGCCCCUUCCAGACCCUGUGAUGUCAAUAGGUAGCAGCUGUGACUACUCCCGGGCUAUGGGUUUCAGCUGACCUGAGCACAGGUGAUGGGCCUGGGCUGUCCCCCAGUGCAGCUGACAGUGACCACAGCCAUGCAGGUGCCCUGGGCACUGAGAAAGCGCUGAACUGAACUGAGCUGUGCUGGACUGGUACUCCUAAACCAGAGACAUCCACUGUUCGGUGUACAACUCUGGGAAGCUCACUGGCUAUUCCUGUCUCUUCAUGCCAGAGGGAGGCUGAAAACUACUUGCAAAGUUUCAGGCGAUUCCGGGUGGUCAAGUUUAAGUAUCGCUCAGGGUUUGUGAAACUGUCAUGAGGAAAGACCAGAUUGGCUUUAUGGGGGAUGUCCCGAGAGACAGAGUCCUCUGAGCUGCUGGCUCACACCAGUGGUGUUCUGCCAAGGUCGGGGCGGGCGCUCAGCUAGAGGAGCAGCGCGCGGAGAACCGGUGGCUACACCAGGCUCUCCUCUGCACCUCCUGGAGGGCAGGGUGUGGUCCGUGGGGCCCAGGAGGAGCCCCACAAUCUGUUCCCGGCAGACGCUGUUCAUCUCUAUUCACCCAUGUGGAAGCUCUUAGAUUCCUCAUUUGUGCUACAUCAAUCCCCAAACAGCACUGCCUCGCCAAUUCUUACUUGUUUUAUUUAUUUUUGUAAUCCCUUUCUCAAAUUUAAUCCCUCAUGGCUGUUUGUUCCUUGCCCUCAAAUAAUUCACUACUAGUAAAGCAGAGGGGUUUUUGUUUGUUUGUUUGUUUGUUUGUUUUUAUUGAACUACGGUUGACUUACAACGUUCUAUUAGUUUCAGAUGCACAGCACACGAAAUUGACAAUUCUCUGCGUUAGGCAAUCCUUACCACGUUGCUUUUCCGUGUCAUCACUGCUUUCUGCAUUGAGAAAUUAACAACUGGCUGUGUUUUCCUGCCCCGUAGAUGGAUGGGCAUUCAUCAAUAUCCUUCUCAAAUGUCUUCUACUUGACAAGUUGGGUUUCACAGAAGUCAACUGCAAACCACUUAGCGACCUCACCCUCCACACUCUACAAAUGUCCCUGAUCAUAAAACCAGAACAUCAGUGGUGUGGCCAUUAAAAAAAGCAUCAAAAACCCUCCCAUGCAUACAAAACGGGAGGCUGCACUGUCAAAGCUGCCCGCAGCCCAAGUGUGGUCCCUCCGUGCACGGGGCUGCUGCUGUACUGGGUUUAAUACAGUAGGUCUGCGACACCAUUAAUUUUGCUUGUUCCUCUCCCCUCCCCCAUCCCGUGCUCUCUUUCAUUUCCUCCUCAUAAAUAUGAAGAACGUAUUCCCAA